UCAGAGAAUUGAGACUUAGAACACAUUUAGUUGCCUUUGUUAAAUAUGAAAUAUUUCAUUCUCCUAAUCUUUGCCUUGACAAUAAGCGUAUUGGCAGGAGGGGAGAACUUGGAAGAUGUUAUGCCACCAUCUCAGGGAUGAGUGCAGCGCUAAAGCUGUACGCUAAUAAAAAAGUUUUGGGAUGUGUUUUAUUAUGUUCUGUUGGCCUGACUUUUGGAUUUCAAUCUCUAUCUACAAUACACAUUCAACUGUGGUUAGUUCUGCUCUUCGUUAAAUCACGGAAAGCAAAAAAUUGAAUAUCAAUAUCAACAAUUAGCAUCUACUUUAGUGUCAUUUUGUACUCUGCUGUAUAAUAUUUACACAGAGUCAAAAUUGGAUAGUAUCCCAAAGGAAUUCCAAUUCUUUACGGUAUUCCGUUGAAGAUGUUGAAUUUGAUUGAUUUCAUUAUCUUUCAAUACGCACUACAUCUUUAGCUACACUCCCCGCACAGUCGUAAAAGAUGCUCAGUGGUGGAGGAGGUCAUCAAAUGACAGGACGAGACACAUUGAACCCGCAAUUGUUGGCGGCAACAUCAAAUGGCCUCAACAGCUGUCCAAACGAUGCCCGCCCAGGCAUCGGCAAUAAAACGAGAUGAGGCUAAAACAAAAAGCGAAUAUCACGUGGCCUACAUGAAAACAGAAGAAGAAGAAGCCCACGAAAACGGCAAAACCUCACAGUGAUUGACUACGAGUUACCCCAGAGUGCGAAAUGCAAAUUAUCAAUGUUUAGCUAUGAUAUUACAAGUAUCAAAUUUAUAUAGAAUAUGCGCAAACGCAUCAGGAAACCACUUUUUUUUUGUGUACUCAUGACUGACUUUUAUAUUUGAUCGAACUCUGCAAAGAUAAAGAAAUGCUAACUGAUA